GGGGAUUGGGAGAUGGUACAAAAAGAAAAAAACAUCAGCCGCAAAGGGAUCCUUAUCAGGGGAAAGAUAGAAAACAGCAAAAAAAAAAGCUAAGGGAGAAAACCAGCAAAGGGGAAGAGAGAAACACAAGCAAAAAAAAAGAAACCUACCGAGGGGACAGAGUGACGGCGGAAAGAAAAAUCUGGGCCAAAGAGAGAGGGACCAAAGAAAGGGUAAAAACUGAGGAGAAGAUAGAGAGCUUUUGGAGAGUAAGCCGACGGGAAAGGAAGAAAGAAACUGACGAGGGAGGUUUGAGAGAGUGCGGGAAGGUUGAGCAAGCGUCAGGGAGAGCUGGGAAGAAACCAUCAACGUAACAAGAAGAGGGGAAAUCGAAAAUCUGGAGGCCCAUCGCAGCAGAAAGGAGGAACUUUCCUUAGUUUCCUUUGUCCGGUGUCAGUGAUUCAUUGCUCCUCCAUUCAAGCGUUGUUUGUUCACGAUUCCAAGGAGUGAAGGUAACCUCUCAUCUUUUUCGGUCAUGAUUCAGCAGGCUUUCAUUUGACUGUUAAACCAUUUUUUUAAUUUGCUGUAUGCAUCUUGGGAGAUGGGGAACCCGUGUCAUGGCUAUCAAUCUUGGAUGUCCGCUGAUGAAACUGCAAAUUUUAGUUGAUUUCGGAUGAUACCACCAUAGAUUUCACCCGAAACCAGAAACCAUUUGUUUUUCCCCUGUGCGUCCUUCAUGUUUUCACCUUGUUUUGUCUAAAAAUGGUCUGUGUGGCAUUUGUUUUGACUGUUAGAACCCUUAAGAGUUAGAUUCAGAGUCUACUGCAACAAGCUUCAAGCUGUUGGCUUGAUGCAGCCGUUUCGUUUUUUUCCUUUUCUUUCCUUCUCUUGGUUGCUGAAUUUGUAGCGUGUCGGGCAUGUUCUUGACUUGGAAGUUUUGUUGUCAUUCGUAUGAGUUUCUGGUGCUUGAAUAUAAAAGUUGGAAAAUAGGAAGAAUCUUGGGCACUCCUGUGGCUUGCUUUCAUGUUUGCAUUACACCUAAGUUUGAGCAUAAAAAUCUGCUGCCAUGGUUCCUAUUUUCUAUCAAUUGGUUGCAGCAGCCUUUGAUUUGUUUUAUGGCUGAGGUUUGUUCGUUAAUUCUGAGUUGCGCUUGUGGGGGCAGUGGUUAAAUGGUUAUGUUUGUUGUGGUCUUAAUGGAAUGUUUGUUUCUUUUCUUGUUGUGUUUUUUUGCAAUCAGCUAUGAGCAGAAAUUUGCUGCAGUUCUCUUUCUUUUUCUUACUGAUCAAACCAGAUUUGUGAUCUCAAUCUUGUCGACAAAAUCUCAUGUUUUGAUUUGGGUCAAUAGUUUCUGUUUGAGGAAUUUGUUUGUAUGAUGAAAUUGAUGUAGUUAUUGCUGGAAAUUACCGCAAACUUGGAAACCGAAAAUGCAGCAAGUUUCAUUUUGAUUGUUUGAACUAUUUAUUUGAGGUGUUUUGAGAGUUGAUUAACAUGGUUGAGUGGAGCUGAUUCAUAGUUUAGCUUGAAUUGUGUGCUUGCUGUAAGAGGUUGCUUGGGAUUGCUGAAGUUGUGUGCGAGAAACUAUAGUAAAAUGGCCGAAGGAAUGGUUGCAGCUUUGGUCGAAAUUUGCUGAUUGCAUGCAUGCAAAUAUUUUUCCAAAAAUUGCAUUUUUAGACCUCCAAGUCUCCUCUUGUUUCACAAUGACCCAACAAAUGGAAUAAUUUCUUCAAUUAGAUCCCCGUGAUUUUUGCAGUAAUGCUUCAAAGCUCACUAAUGCUCUAAUUUAUUGCUAUUGGGUCAUGAAGUAAUUGCAUUUUAACUCACUUGACUUUCCUUUGUUCUCGGACCUUCAAAAUUCCUAAAAAUAUCUCAAUUGGUUUUGUUUGAUUAGAUUAGUGGUUGCAUUUGGGUCCUUAUCAUGUGCUUUAUUUAGGAUUUGAAUAGGUCAUGCCUUCUCCUUGAUCUUUAAGUAUCUUUUGACUAUAUUUAAGUUGUGAUUGAGGAAUGAUUUGAUGAUUUGAUGAAUGCCAUUUGGAUUAUUUAUAUUUUAUUAUUAAAGUGGUGCCUUGACCUUUUUAUUAUUUUGGAGGGUAAUUGAAUAAUUUCACUUCAUUGGGGCGUCAAUUCAAGGGAGGUACACUCUAUCCCUCAUUUGCACUACAUUUGACCUUACGUGCUCCUACGUGUUAUGUGAAUAUGCAUGUCUACUUCGCUUUCCUUACCUCCUUGCAUGCAUUUACUUGUUUUUUUGCUUUUAUUUUAAGUUUUAUGGGGUAUGUGUACACCUCUUGGCUUGUAAUAGAUAGGGCUCGGAGAGCAUCUGGUCCAUUUCCCCUUCCCCUUUAUGCUUUUAUGGGGUAUGUGUACACCUCUUGGCUUGUAAUAGAUAGUGCUCGGAGAGCAUCUGGUCCAUUUCCCCUUCCCCUUGGUUGCUUGCUUUUGUUGCUACAUGUUUAAUUGCUUUAUUAGGUUCUUGCAUCUAGUCGAGCAUGCUAAAUGCUAUGUGCUAUGUGUUUACGAGUAUUUUGGCAUGUCUACUUGCUUUCAUAGCCAUGAAUGAAUGGAAUGGAUGAAUGUACGUUUCCGCUAGUCCAACGCUAGUCGGAAUUCAUAGAAUGGGCUAGUCCAACGCUAGACCCUUAGGGAUUUCCCCUCAUUAGCAUAUCAUUUGCUUGUUCACUACAUAUCAUGCAUUUUUCCCUAGUUUUAUCAUCUGGCAUGCUCCUCGAGCCCUUUCCCCUCACUUUAGGUUUUGCAUCCCAUACUAGCUAUAGGGUUCAUUUUGCUUGAGUGUCCCCUCUUGAUAAGGGAAACGAGCGAGUGUGGCUACUCGAUAGCCUUAGCACGCUAGUUUCGCCUUCUAAUCAAAGGGAAAAUCAAGUCACGAUUUAGGUCUCCCCGUACCCAAUAUGCAUGAAUUCCCUAGGCUCAUGCAUUCUCAAUCCACUCUAUCAUUACACUUUCACUUUUGUCUCAUUUGCACACAUGCACCCUUUUAUCACUUUCACUUGCACACGAACACUUUUAUCUUCACUCGCACACGAGUACUUUCAUCUACAUUUGCACACCUUCACUCUUAUCUUAUUACUUUUAUCAUUUUUUCACUUCACAUAAACUCACACUUUCACAUGGCAUGCAUUCCACUCAUUUUUCACGUCAUUUAGGUUUAGGUGUGACCUCUCCAAAAGGAUCAUUAUUGGGCUUCACAAUUAAUGUGAUUGGCACCACUCAACCUUUGAAGAGAAAUUUCCCCCAAUCCCCCUAGGUCUAGGUUUUUGCAUUCAUAUAGACAUAUCCAAUACGUGAUACAUACCUUGGGUAGAAAAAUUAGGAAAAAUUGGUUUGAGUCGCGCAACUAGCCUUGGCUAGGUCAAAGGGGUGCCUUGGAUUCUAUCCUUGCCUUCCCCUUUGUCAAACGUGACCCCCGAACCUUUUUCUUUGGCUUACGUGGACUAGGAGUCGUUUUAAAAAGGGUUUUACUACUUUGUCUUUAAAAAACACUUUUUUUGGGUGACUUGGUACACCCCAAAUCUAUACCAAGUGGCGACUCCGUUUUUCAUAUUUAAAAACCCUUUUUAAAAUUUCAUUUGGCCAAAUCGUCGCUUUCCAAAGUCCCAUGGCCUUUUUACUUUUCAUUUUGCACACGUUCACACCACACACCACACAUCACCAACACACAUUCACACUACACAAUCAAAAAGUGGGGCGCGACAAUUGCUCAAGUGUUUUUCGAAUAAUCAACGAUGACAACAAUAAAGAAGCUGACUACUCACAAAGAGUGAUAGAGAUCAAUACAUCGAUGAUGAUCAAUUCAUCCAAAUAAUUUCAAAGAAGUUCAAAACUAGCAGUAAAACAAUACAAAUGCAACAAAAUUUAAAGUAAAAAACUCUAACACCUUCAGAAUACUAUGAAUGUGGAGUAUGUCGAAAUCAUUUAAAAGUUUGUAAAAUUUUCAAUCAGUUAAAAUUGAGAAGUGUAUAUCCUCUUUGGAAUUUUUUAAUAAAUAGGUCCGAAUUUAUGUCAAACCUUACACCGUUUAUAGGUAAUUUUUUAUUGAGAAAAAGAAAACUAUUUACUUUCACAAAUUCUCAUAAACUAAAAGUAGUUUUAAUAUCUUGUUAUCUUUUCUUCAUGCGGGCCCAUUUGCCAUAACACGUGGACUUGCAAAAUUUACUUUGUCCUGCUUUUUAUUUUUUUAAAACCCUUGUUAAAUUUUGCAUAACCACUUAUUUUCAAGAACCUCCUUUGCCAAAACCAUUGCCAUUACACUUUAGUUUUUUUUUUCCAACUCGAAAAGCCUUUUGCUUUUUGUGUUAUUCCUACUAAAGUAAAAAUAUAGAGAAGCUAAUACCUAGUUAGUAGUAACUACUAACUAGUAACUAGUAAUGAUCUCUAACCAAGUAAAAGUCCAAGGCCCAAGGCCAGGCAAUAAAAAGUUAGGAAAAGAUUAGGAGGCAUAGGCGGGUCAAAUAGCGGAUCUCACUUGUACACGCCCACUGAAGACACAGUUCUCCCAGCUGAACCGCAACGCAGCGUCUUCCGGCGGCAGCCAACGGCGAGGAUAUACUUCUCUACCUCUUUAUCCGGUAAGGUUACUUUAUUUUAUCUCUCUCUUCUCGCCUUUUAUUUAUUUAUUUACUUUUAAUCUCACAAAUUUCAAUCUCUUGUAUGCAUCUUUGUUUUUUUUUUUUUUGCUAUAAUUCUUAGAAUUGAUUGUACACUUCUAUUUUUACGUUUGUCUACGAUUUUUUAAACUUUUUUUUUCGAAGCUUUGUGAUGGAUUUAUUGGUAUAUAGUUUCUGCUAAUUAAUUUUUGGUAGUUUUCUUGCUGGACUUUGGGUUUAGGGUUUUGCGUAGGGAGCAUAGCAGGAAAUAGCAAUAGCAAUGAGUCGUAGCUUAGGUAUACCGGUGAAGCUUCUACACGAAGCCACAGGACACAUCGUGACCGUAGAGCUGAAGAGCGGAGAGCUCUAUAGAGGCAGCAUGGUUGAAUGCGAAGACAAUUGGAAUUGCCAGCUCGAGAACAUCACUUUCACAGCUAAGGUACUCUCGUUCCAAUGUUAUUAUGCCCUUCAUUAAGAAUUGUGAAAGUGCUUUUCUGUUUCCGGUGUCUUUAUGCUGCUUUCGAGCUUCGUAAUGCCUUUUUCUUUCACUUUGAUUCCAAUGCAUGAUGGGCGGAAGCCAACGAUGAUUUUCUGUGGCAGGAAAAUUGAAACUAUGGGAUGUUAGUAAAUUGGAAUUGAAAUCUAUUCACUCUUUAAGGAGGUAACAUGGGUUGGGUGGUGAAUGCUAUUCAGAACACGAGGACAAUCAGUUGUAUUUGUGCUCAUAAAUGAUUUAUACAGGUUUUCGUAGUAAGAAUUUCAUGUUUGUGGCAAAAGUAUUUUAAAACUAUUAUUGGCAAUAUGUUCUCAUAUAACAGAAUUCUAUCCAACUAAAUUCCAGGUCGUGUAUUUUCUUUUUUUAAAUUCUUUGAUCUUACAUGCAAAACUGUUCUUUAAUAUGUGUUUUUUUUUGUUGUGGGUUAGGUCUUUAAUAUGUGUUUUUAUUGUAGAUUUAAGCAUCUUAUUUUAUGAUGUGUCCUUUAGGUAUCAGAUGCACGUCUCAGAUUUUACAACAAAUUAAGUGUCUUCUGCACACAUGCAUUAGAGUUCACAGCGUGUCGGACUACUUGGGGUUGGGGUUGUAAGGAACUUUUUGACCUGUGGAUGCUCAUUUAUCAUACUUAUUUUAACUGACAGCUAGUUUUAAGAGUAUUCCUCCCUUGAUAAUUUCAUUGAAAUUGGACCUGUCAUUUUUGACAUUCAUAAGCAAUUAUUUCCAGUGCCAUAUAAUUUCUUCUACAUCAAUGGCUACAGAAUGUAAGAUCUCUUUUUGAAUUGUUGAUAGCUUCUGAACAGUCUCUUAUCCUUUCAUGGAUCUUUGAAGCACUGAUAUAAUUUACAUCUUCAGCCGCCUCAAUCCUGAUAUCUUCUUUUUUGAACCUCUGAACUGAAGCAAAUUAGCUUCAAGACUUCAGUUGUUUUUGACUGCCUAUUAGAGAGAGUUUCAUCGGAUUAAGAUGUUAUAUUGUGCCCUUUUGGCUUUUUUUAGUCUUGUGGAAGACUAAUUUUGGUCUGUAUCUUUACAGGAUGGCAAGGUAUCACAACUUGAGCAUGUUUUCAUUCGAGGAAGCAAAGUCAGGUACAAAAACUGUAAUAUAAAAUGUUUUUUGAUUCUCUCAACUGCUUUCUGAGUUCUGAUUGCGGGUAAAACAAAUUUUUAUCAGGUUUAUGGUGAUUCCCGAUAUGCUUAAGAAUGCUCCAAUGUUCAAACGUCUAGAAGCUAGAAUCAAGGUGCUUUCCCAGUUUGCCCAUGUGUAUUAGAGUGUAUUUGUGACCAUCACAGCUCUGCUUACACUUUUUAUAUUAUCUUUUGAAGGGCAAGGGUUCAGCACUUGGCGUUGGACGGGGACGUGCUGUUGCCAUGAGAGCCAGGGUAAGAUCUAUUUCGUGACUUUUACAUCUUAUACUCCAAGAUCAUUUAUUUAAAUCCAAAAGUUAGGAAUGACACUCCAUAUCUUUACUGUAAGCUCUGAAAUGCAUUAUGAUCUCUUGUCAAGAAAAGGCAAUGCUGGAUGGCCUCUCUAGAACUGGGAUUUAACAAAUACUGUAAAACAAAGAAAAUUUAGUUGUACGGAGUAUGUAAAAUGAUUAGCUUGGAGAAAUAUAUGGGGUUACAAAUUAAGUUUUGUGGGGUGAAGUUUGCCUGACUGUGCCAUCCGUGUAUGCAGGCUCAGGUUGCUGGUCGUGGAGCUCCACCUGGCAGGGGCGUUGUGCCACCUGUAAGGAGGUGAUCAUUCCAAAAUAUGAUUGUAAUCUUAAUCUUAAGAGCGUCAAAGCUCGUAUAUUAUGCACGGGAGAUCAUCAAAUCCAUGUUCUGCAGCCCAAUUUGGUAUAGGAUAAUAUUUGGCCUUUGAGACCUUAAAAAUUAUGUACGCUUUUGAACUUGGCUAGUGCUCAUUUAGAGACGUGAAUGGUUUUCCAAUUUACGCUUCUGUUUUAGCUGAUUCUAAAAUUUGAUGUAAACCAAAUCGAUUGGCUGUCUGUUAGUCAUGUAGCGAACGAAGUCGAUGUGGGAAGUCGUAUUCCGCUGUAACGUGGAAAUAGCAAAUUGCCUCCAUCCGUAAUUACUUGUGCGGAUGCAAAUAGCGAGCAAUGCAAUAAGCUUUUUGAAAAGGAUCGAUCCAGAGUUUGAAUGAUUAUCAGGAUUGCAAAGGCUAUGGAGGAGAGGUUAGUUUUUGGUGGUGAAACGUAGUUGAUAAUCCAGAAAUGCGUGUACCCUUUCAUUAACCGCUGCCCGGGCUGCUACGGAAACACCUUUUACUGCCCACUGGUUGGAAGAUCCAAAACUUCGUGGUUAUAUUGAAUGAGCGGCCAUUAGGCAGACUGUUUGUGCCUCUGACAAAUUGAACGACCUUUGAAGUAGAAAUUAAAUUAUGCGAAUUGGAACCCGACCCAACUCAUGGCCCUUUAAAUGAAAUGGAGCAAUUCUAACUCAGAUGUUUUUCGGCCCAAUAUGCACCAAAACAGACAUACUGCUUGAAAUUCUCCAUUUUGGAAAACCUUUCCUCUUUCGUCUACUGAUUGAGGGCUAUGACGAGAUAUAGCCUGGCUUGUACAUUCCUACUCCGUCUAUUUAUGCUCACUUACUAUAUCUGUAUACAGCAGGAUGAUUGAUUUUCCAAGUCCAUUUGCUGGAUCCAGUAGCCAAAAACAAUAUGUGACUGACUAUCUGGAACAGUUGCAGGCUACAUUUCGUUUCCGCCUUAAAAUACACUCCUUUUUAUGAGUGAUGGAGCAAAGGUGUUUACUUCUGCAUAUUCAAAAAGUUUUAACGCCUUCUUAAGUUGGUGGAUAAAGGUGUAAAUAUCUGAUGCGGACAAAAUUACGGUUUAAAAGAUUUUUUUUUUGGGGGGGUAAGGUAUUCCACCUAAGGUUAAGUGGGUUUUCACUUUUCAGUGCUUCAAAAUUUUAGUGUCCUCAGAUUUGAGUGCUUCAAAAUUUCAGUGCUUCAAUUGCCACGUUAAGUGAUUUUACUUUAAAAAAUAUUCAGUCGGGUGCACGGUGGUGGUUCAGUCCCUUCCAAAUUACCUUUGGACUUCUUUAGUUCCGUCCCUCCCCCUAAUGGAGGAUAGAAUAGAUUUACCGUCUCCGUUAAAAAAAAAAAAAAAAAAGAAGAUUUGAGACAUAAAAAGUAGACCAGUGAAUAGUCAUCAACCGUCUCCCGCCUCCUGACUCACUGGCUCGCUUCUGCUCGAAUUUCUUUCGCUGAACUUUCAUCGAACUAAAUCUUGACCUUUGAUGAUGGAAAUUUGAUUUUCUCCGAAGAUGCGUUUUAAGAAAAGUUGUGUUAGCAAGAAGGGUACUUUUCGUAUCUCUUUUCUUCUUCGCCUGAUGCAUUUGUUUUCGAAAGUAGACUUUUGUAAGGAUAUUAUUAGCAAAAAAUUCCUAAUUUUAUGUUUCACACCGGCCCCCUUCCUCUCGAUUCACUCGAGAUUCAGGUUUUGAAAUAACAGGAAUUCAGCUUUGUUUGGAUCUCCUGUUUUUGGAGUGUUUUUCAAAAACUAGUUUUUCAGAUACAAUAAAAGUUACAACAAAGUACUCUAAAAGAUAAUCUAAAAAUUAGUUUAAAUUUUUUUAAAAUUUCACCAAAUAUCUCAUAAUAAAGUGCCAAUAAAAAAUAUUUCAAAAUAUUUUCUAAAAAUAUUUCAAAAUAUACUCUAAAAACUCUGCUACAGCAAAGUUUUUCAAAAACACCCCAAAAACAGCUAAUCCAAACGGAUUAUUACUAUAAUACCGUAGUACUCUUUCUUUCUCGUGUAACAAUGACCACACAGCUAGUCGCCACAAACCAAAUCUAAUGUUCCACCAACCAAUUCUAAGAUUGAAAUUCACACAUCUGUCAUUCCCAAAAAGGAAAGGACUUCUUUAUCGCAACAGACGUUAGUUUACAGUACUAGUAUUGUUCUCCAGAUUGUGUGGUGUCGAUGAAAGCCCGAUGACGAAGACAGAAUUGUGUAAUAAAAAUCUUCCUAGCACAAGUAGUCACGCUAUGAAUUAGAUGCAACAGAACUUCCCUACAACCUAAAUCAAAUCCUAUCCAUCCCAAGUGUUUGAUUCACAAUUCACAAACAAGAGUCUCUCUUGCCACAUUAUUUCUGUGCAUGAACAGGCAGGGAGACACUGUACAGGCCACAGAAAGGGACUGCCAAAAUUCAUCUGUAUCAAAGCCUGGCAGCUGAUCUGGAAAAUAUAAUAGUGCAACAACCAAACGUUUGGUAUAAUUUUUCUUUAGUCUUCAAGCACAACAAAAGUGUUCUCCGAAUUGAAGUUCUUGAGCGGUAGCGAUCAAUGGUUUUGGCUCUCCAAAGUGCGCCGAAGGUACGUAUUUAUUUUAUUUGGCAUUUGGGCGGCGACCGAGGACCAAUAAAAUUGUCUCACUUGACGUUGACUUGGUUAUGGAAGUCAGAAAUUUCGACGGUGAAGUUACAAAAGAUGUCAAUUUCAGAUGAAUGGUUGGACCACUAAUGGUGAUCGCAAUGACUUCGAAAGAUUGACUACUAUUUUUAUAACGGGGAUUUAUGCGUUGAAUAGGCUUUCUUUCUACUGAAAAUGCUUGUUUGACCCGAUGAGAAGACUUUUUUGGUUUUGUGUGAACACAAAUUUCAACUUUUACAGUGGAUUCCUUUGGUUUGACUUUCCAAUAUAUAUAUAUAUAUAUUCAUGAAAUGUAUGACAUCAUAGCUUAAGGUGAUUGAGAGUCAAAAACAUAUAUAAUGAAGAAUGACUGGAGGAUGAUGUGAGGGUUUAACGCCUCUCUUAUCAAUCAGAGUUUUAUUAGCACAAAGGAAAUUGUUUUUGAUCAGCUUCUAAUUCCUCCUACGAAUAUGAGUAUGGAUUUGCUUAAUUCGGUUCCGUCAAUAAACCCUAAUAGUAUUAGGUCUUACGUCCAAUCCAAAUCCAGAGACCAAAAUCUUAAUCUUCAAUUGUGUGAACUUAAUCAAACCAUUGAAUUAGGGGACCAUUUGGAGGUCCCAACUGCAUGUGCUGGGCAGAAUAUGUUUCCAACAUGCAUGUCUUGGUCGAUUUAUGAAACCAUGCCCAAUCAAUAUUUGAUGAUUGAUGGAAUUGAUUAACCUGACUUCUGUUCUACUUAAUAAAACUGAUCAGUAAUCGAUCGACUUCCCUGCUUAAUGAUGAAAUGAUGAUCAUCUGCAAGACCAAAAGCCAUUGCUUAAAACUCAGGGGCAAGAAAAUGAAAAUAAAUAAAAAUCAAACUUGAGUGCGAUGGAUGAAUUUAACUGUCACAGUCAAUCACUCAUAUUCUUUUUUUUUUCUUUUAAGGAUUGCUCAAACACUCGAUAAUACACUUAAGAUACGAUGAAUUUACUACUACGUGAAUGCAUGCACAUAUUCAUAUUUAUUACAUCUAUGUAUUUAGACAUUUUCUCAAAGUAAUUUCACUUUUACAAAGAAUUAAGUAGAGUACUCUCUUAACGAUUGACCCUUAUUAAUUACAAACACAAAUCAGUUGCUAUCUCCUCAAUACCAGAUCGAGAGACGUUACGUCUUUCUCAUACUACUAGUUGUCCGCAAUAACGAAGUCAACUCCAACAUUUUGUAGUUUUUCUCUUGUUCAUAUCCAUGCAUAGAGAAGCUGUGUAAGAACUGAAAAUAAAGAACUUGGCCAAAGCUGGGAUGCAAUAUCCCUGGUUCCGGAUAUGACAAACUAAUUUAGUGGUUGACAAGAAAGGUAGCUAGCUGCGUGGAUGGAAAUAAGUUGCCGGUGGAUCGAAAUGGGGAUUGAAUAAUUGGCUAAAAAAUGGCCUACUCAAUAGCUUGGAGGGGCCAGUAAAGACUUGAAUGUUGUCAUUGACAUGGAAAAAUUAGAACGAAGAAACGCGUACGUUAACCAUCAUGCAGAUUGCAGAUGCCGUCUUUAUCACUAUUACUAGUGGUUCGGGCUGCGGGGGCAAUUAGCAUACAUAUGGGACCUUUUGAACGCCAAAUUAUCACUUAAAAUAGGGAAAAUCAGUAGCCUCCUUAUAGAUUUAUUGUACCAUAAAGUUUUUAGUGGACAAAAAGAAUUUCAAUGUCGGAUUAUUUGUUUUUCAAUUAUAAGAGAAUUGAUGAGUACGUCCCUACAUUCUUUCUUUUUUUUUUUUUUUCAAUCGAAAACUGUUUUCCAUAAUGGCGUUUUUUUUCUUUGAUAGUGGAAAUAUCAUAAUGGCUUUUUUUUUUAUAUAGUAUUAUCAUUUUUUUUAAAAAGGAUAAGAAGCAAAGACUUUAUUGGUAAUUCAUUUUACACCAUGAUGAUGAUGUGCAAGUCCAAGUUAUGUAGCUUCAAGUAUUUCGCUUUCUUUUAUGAAAAGGAAAAUGGGAUUUGACCCACUCAAGUUGCAUGUAACGUGUGAUCAUAGAGUACGAAAAAAUAAGAUGGUUUCCAAGUCCACGGAAAGUAAUUGUCAAAGUGACACUAAAAACUUUGUGGUGCAUCAAAAGGUUGGUUAGUUGCUUAAUAUUAGUUGAAUGUGUAUAUCAUUCAUCUUAGUAUACACUUACAUCUGUAAUGCGAGAGUGCAUAUUGUAAAAAACACGUUUUUUUUUUUUUUUUUUAUGUUGAGGCCUUUGGCUAUAUUGAGCGAACUCUUAAUACUUGUGUAAAUAAUAGUAAGCCAUUAGUUAGUUGAUUAUGAAAUUGUAUAAAUAAAAAUAUAUCAUUAGUUAGUUGAUCGUAUGGUCAAUUUUUUUUUUUUCUAAAUGAUAGAUUUUGAAUUUAAAAUCUCUUAUUUAAAAUCUUUUUAAUUUACCAUCUAACUCAACCUUUCGUAGGUCGUGAGACCACUUGUUCGACUUUCAAUUCUUCUAGUUUUUCCCUUCUCCAAGACUCAAUAUCUCCUUUGAAACAAACAAAAUAAAAAGAAAUUAUUUUGAAAAACUUGGUAGGUGUUGUAUCAGAGACUGUAAGCAGUAGGACGUUGCUCCCAUUUAAGAUGUGCACCAAUGAGUUGCAUGGUUUACAGGAUAUUAUGUCUACGUAAUUAAAUAUCUUUGAGCUCUACAAUCUUCAUAGGAAUAUUAUUGGCUUACCUUGUAUAUUAUUCUAAGUGCCCGUGCGAUCUUCAAAUUGAUAUAUAACCACCAAAAUCGAAUACAGCCCAGCAUUUAUUUCAGAACACGUUUCAAUCUUCAACUUUUCGGACAAAAUGAUCGAACCAGAAAGAGAAACAAGUUUCGACAACUAUGUCAUGAUACAGUAUGCUUUCAUUUCAUGCAUGUCUUGGUUAGUUCCCUGAUUGCAGAUUAAUGCAGACGAUUGAUCAAGUACAUACUUUAAAUGAAGCAAGUAUCUAUCAUGUUACUGCUAACUACCGCGGUAGAACUUCAUAACCUCAGACCAACAAUGAAUUUUAGAUUGAAUCAUGAGCCUUGAAAGAAUUCACCAAAAAAAUAAUGCAAAUGGUCAAGUUUUGGCGCAACUUCAUAGUUCGUAUACAUAUGAAGAGGGGAAAAAAACGGAAAUCUGGAAAUCUCCGCUCUGCUGUCUCUUAGACUAUAACAAAAACAAGAGAAAUUUCCAAUUUCCAAAUUCGUGUAUAUACAGAUCUCCACUAAUGAAAAAAAACCAGACAAUUAGUUUCCAAGUGGUCAGAUGAUGGAUAUCCCAUGCACUAAACUAGUUAGCUUAAGUAACCGGUGGUGCCCAUCAUCCAUGUUAUAGUAAACCUUAAUCCACCUCUACAUACGACAAGAAACUCCAUCUUGCAUCAUCAGCUCCCUUAAUUAUCUGAUCAUGGAAAAUAGAGAGCAAAAAACUUCUUCAUCACAAGGAAUGGUGAGGCCCAUCUCAUGGUUGAAGCCAAACUCUUCUUCAGCUCGUUGUAACAAGCUCUGGAAUUCCGGGUGUUCCAACCAAGAAAUGGGGAUGAUGUAUCUGGUCCUAUUUUGACCAACAUAUACUGCAAAAUGGCCUUUUGGGACAUCAUGUGGAAGGCUAUUGUCGUGAUCAUGACCAGUAUUCUUCCUUCCAAAACUUGAACACUUUUUGAGGAUUUGUUUGAGGGCCGCCGUUUGAGUAGCGGCAUGUUUUGUUCCUUUCUUAAGAGCCAUGUUUAUGGACUUUAGAAGAAAAAGGCUCAGCCAGGCAAAGAAGAGAUAGAAAUUGUAUGUAUUAAGAGAAUGAAGGAUUCGAAGGAGGUGGGGAUGAAUUGAGGAGAAUGUGGAGGAGUAGUAGUUGUAUUUAUGGGGAAAAAGAAGAAGACAGGGAGUGAUUAUCUGCGAAACAAAGACAUGUGGAGUGUGGGGGCAACAAACUAACAGGGCUUAGAUGUUCUUAUUUGAGAAGUCUUGUUCAAGGCCAUGCAACCUCAUUCCCCAUUUGGCCUUUUCCCUUUUUCUUGUUACCCCUCCCAUAGACAAAGUGGACCACUAUACUCU
rnacentral:lncRNA from 1 species